GGCGCGGGAGCCAGAUGGCCAGGCAACUGCCUGCAAAGCAGUGGAAGUGGGUUCGAUUCCCACCUGCGUCU
rnacentral:tRNA from 1 species